CAGCAGCCGCGGGAAUACAGAGGGUGCGAGCGUUAAUCGGAUUUACUGGGCGUAAAGCGUGCGUAGGCGGCUUUUUAAGUCGGAUGUGAAAUCCCUGAGCUUAACUUAGGAAUUGCAUUCGAUACUGGGAAGCUAGAGUAUGGGAGAGGAUGGUAGAAUUCCAGGUGUAGCGGUGAAAUGCGUAGAGAUCUGGAGGAAUACCGAUGGCGAAGGCAGCCAUCUGGCCUAAUACUGACGCUGAGGUACGAAAGCAUGGGGAGCAAACAGGAUUAGAGACCCGCGUAGUCCCUGUCUCUUAUAC
rnacentral:rRNA from 1 species